GUCGAACGAGAAAGUGGAGCAAUCCAUGAGUAAAGUGGCGACCGGGUGAGUAACACGUGACUAACCUACCUCCGAGUGGGGAAUAACUCCGGGAAACCGGGGCUAAUACCGCAUAACAUCGCGAGAUCAAAGCAGCAAUGCGCUUGGAGAGGGGGUCGCGGCUGAUUAGCUAGUUGGCGGGGUAACGGCCCACCAAGGCGAAGAUCGGUAUCCGGCCUGAGAGGGCGCACGGACACACUGGAACUGAAACACGGUCCAGACUCCUACGGGAGGCAGCAGUGGGGAAUUUUGCGCAAUGGGGGAAACCCUGACGCAGCAACGCCGCGUGGAGGAUGAAGCCCUUUGGGGCGUAAACUCCUUUCGACCAAGACGAUUAUGACGGUACUGGUGGAAGAAGCACCGGCUAACUCUGUGCCAGCAGCCGCAGUAAUACAGAGGGUGCAAGCGUUGUUCGGAAUUAUUGGGCGUAAAGGGCGCGUAGGCGGUGCCACAAGUCACUUGUGAAAUCUCCGGGCUUAACUC
rnacentral:rRNA from 1 species